rnacentral:lncRNA from 1 species
AGGAGGAGCCCAAGCCUUGGAUUAUGAAGACGUUCUUGCUUCUCCCUGUGUAAAUUGAUAAUGCCAAGGGUUUCUGGCGCCAAGCAAGGGAAAGUGUCCCCCGUCCCAGGCGCCUUGUCCCCACAUGAUUACUAGGUGCCUGCUGAUAUUAAACCCUGGGGACUGUCUUUGAAGUCCUUGUUUCUUUCCCUUUCUGUCUUUCUGUGUUUAACGUUUACAUUGUAUGAGGAGGUACAGGGAGUGUUUCUACCUCCUGGCAGUGGUUGUAGCCUUUAAAAAAAUUUUAAAAAAUAGACAACUUUUUUAGACCAGUUUUACAUUCACAGCAAAAUUGAGCAGAAAGUACAGAGAGUUCUCAUAUAAUUCCUACCCGCCCCAGACACAGCCUGCCUCACUAUCAACAGUGUCCACCAGAGCAGUACGUUUGUUAGAGUUGAUGGACCUACAUUGACACGUCAUCAUCACCCCGAGUCCAUAGCUUAGGUUAGGGUUCCCUCUUGGCGUUGUGCCUUCUAUGAGAGUUGUUGAUUUUUACACCAGCAGUUGUCCUGCGAAAGCCUAUCCAAAUAAUUUGGGGCAAGACUGGUAAUGCUCACCUAUUUCCAAACAACCUGUUUUGGAGAAGAGCAUUUAAGAUUGAGUAGAAGCACAAAAUAAAGAAAGAAAGGUGUGCAGGAAGGAAGGGAAGAGACAAGAGAUUGAACCCUCCGCUCACCCAGGCACGUCCCACCCCCAAUCUGAAGCUCUUCACAGGUGGACGGAGUGAUCGUUCUUGCCUAAAAUGUCCCUGCUCUUCUCCUGUUUCCUGAGUCUGCUUCUGCCGACCUGCACCUGUCUCGGGCCUUCCUCUUCCCGGAGAGGUAACUCUGCCUAUCAAUUUCAGUGCGUUUGCAUCAGCAGAUUCCAGGUGAUGGAUCGGCAGCUUCAUUUUAAUAGUCUGUUGGUAUGGAGUGACCUGUGGCCUUUCCAGAAGAGGGAGCUCUUCUGGGUCCAAGAAGUGGAAGCAGUCUUUGUCCCAGUGCAGUCUCUUGCUGGUGAAUGAGGUAAGGGAGUUACUAAGUGAGCACAGAACAAAAGUUGUGUCUUCUAAUGUGCUAUUCCUAUCAAGUUCUGAUGAUCUGACAGCCUGGCCUCCAUUGCCUAAAGGCUAUUUUCACGUAAAGGAACAGGAUCAAUCAUUCGGAACCAGCGUGCCUGAUGGACCUCCUGGCGACACACCGACAGAGUUUCAUUUUCCAACUCUCCUUUUUCAGAUACGCGUGCAGACCACCACCCUGCCGGUUACCCUCGUUGCCACAACACACAGCUUCCUAAGUGUGGGGUUAUUUUGCGUUGAGUUAGGCAGCUUGCUAAUGGCAUUCUCAGGACAGGCACUUUAAUCUCCUCAUAGGUCAUUCCAAAUCACUCCACAAGAUGCGUUACUUCUGGAAAGCUGCCCUGGAGACAGCUAAUCCCCUCCUUCUUGCAGGCUUGCUUUACGGAGAUGGCAUCUGCUGACCUUAUGUUUCAGGAGCCGUCUUAUUUUGAGGGCUGUAGAUCUUUGUCCACCAUCUACGGUUACCACAGCUAAAAAUACUUUGGAGGGUGAAGAAUCUUCAAGGGGACUUUGCAGUGUGGACUGUAUUCCUUCUAUUUUGGUACCAUAUUUCAAGGCAAGAGCCUUGUUACCGUGCUAAGAGCCAUAUUACCUGAUAGACCAACAUUUCAUCUUAUAGUUGAUUAGAAGCCCAGCUUUAUAUGGAGCCCUGUGAUUAUGUUGCCUUUUCCCUGCCAAUGUUCCCAAUAAUCAUGCUACCUGUGAUUUUCCUGAUACACCAUCUCCACUUAACCUCAAUACACGGAAUUAGCCACCUUCCCCGUGCCUCACGCCAAUGCUUCAAUCCAUGUGUGUCAGCCAUAAUCUUCCCGCACGCACCUCCGUCUCCCACCCCCAACAGGACAGUUUUGAGCUUCCACAUAAACUGGGAUCAGAGGGACUGAGAUGUAUUUGUGUUGCACAGGUGCUGCUGUUUGUCUAAAGAAAAGUACAGAAUGCGAUGCUGCGGGACCAAACUGAGCUGUGGGUGUGUUGCUAGAUCUUUGUGUGCCCUUGACUCAAUGGGCUAUGUGAGUAUCACUCAGAGUCACUCAUGUGCCACGAGGUUGCCCAUCCCUGAUUUCAGGCAUACAUUUGUUAGGCUCCACCACUUGCUGCCUCCUGUUUUUUAGUGUGCUUAAAUAAAAGGAAGUGCUCCUACUAUAGAAAAAUGUUA